CAAUGAAUGAAUAACCAGACUGGUUGUUCUUUUUUAUUUCAAUCUAUUUCAAUCUUUUUCUCAUGCACAUGGAAAAUUACCAUUUGGCAAAGCGUUCAGCCACCACAACCUCCCCGCGUUUACCAGCUCCGACCCAGCAUCCCUCAGGGCAGGGUUUACCAGCAAUUACAUUUAAGAGAUCUCGUCAAAGGUGCGCCUUCAGUAAAACCAUGGGAGACAGUUUAGGCUCUCUAAUAUGUUUCCAGCACUAUUCAGCAUUUUUUGUAAAGCUUUUGAUGUUAUUAUUUAUUUUUGAUUUUUUUGGGGGCUUGUUUUCAAGUUCAUAAGUUCAGAGGGCAUAUGAUUUUCUGGAAGCAGUUUAUGGCAUAUUUUGAUCAUAUUUCAGGACAUGGAUUUACCAGAAUCCAUUGUUGGAAAGGCUACUGAUUAUUUUUACCCCAAAAAUGCUCUACUUAGUAAUUUAGUGAAGCGCCGUAAGUCACGAUAGGCUUUUGUUACCAGAGAAAUGACGAGGAUUGACGCAUAUAGACGAAAGACUUCCCUAAUCCACGUUCACACCUAAUAAUAUUCCUCUUUUCACGCCACAUUCUACAGCUUCCCCUUAAGUCAAUGACACCUUGGUAACAAUAGCAACACUCGUAUACACUACCAACAUUUACCUGAGCCUGGCUAAUGCUAAUAGAAUUGAAAAGUCUAUGAUCAUUUAUGCAUUUUCUUUUUUCUGUGGAAAACAGCUUUUUUGUGAAUAUAAUAGAAGUCAAUGGGGACCAAAACAACACUGGACUUGCGUUAUAUGGAAAAAAAUAAGAAGAAACAAAGUCAUACAGGUUUUUAAUGACAGAAGGGUGAGUAAAACAUGAAACUUUUCAUUUUUGGGACUAACUAACCCUUUAACAUCAACUCUUUUUUCUUUGUUAUUUUUGAUACAAAGGCUAAUAGCUCAGGUAAUAUAUUUCAAUGAGGCUAUUUGCAUCGUUUUUCAUUUUCAUUUGCAUGGAAUGUUAAUUUGUCCGUCUUUGGAGCAAGUGAGCUUGCAAAAGCAAACAUUACGGAUGAUCUAACACGAUCCGGAAAAUCAGACCGCCAGCUGGGAGAAUCACAGGAAGACCGUAAUCAGCGUAGCGCAGGAAGUGAUAAUGGGUGCCUGACGUAAUCGGACCGUUCCAGGGAGGGAGAGACGAAAAAAAUUCAAAUCUAUCUAUCACAAAGAGGAAAAAAUGUACACCCUGGAGUCCACGUUGACAAAUUCUUUAACAAGCUGUGGUCAAAGGGAAGCUGGUUGAAGACUGACUCAGCCCCUCCUUUCAGCAGUUUACUGGAAACACGGGGGGAGGCAGGGGGAGGAGGGAGUUUCAGAGAAGUCACAUGACCCAUAAGGGCAGGGCUAACCACAGCUCCGGGAGGAGGAGAGGAGCAGAGAGGAAUCAGGGCGAGGGGGGAGGCCGAUACACGCCCUUCCCCGAGCAGAUGCCUCCGAAUCGGGUUACUUACUCGACUGCCUGGGAGUUGGCAGAGGAGAAUUCACAGACUAGCUAACCCUUUAAGUGCUGGAGACAAUGAUUCAUAAAACAAUAUUAGCUUUUUUUAAACAGUGUUAAUCCAAAUUAAACAAGGAAGUAGAUCGUUUUUGCUCUUGUUUUAACACUGUUUUUUUUUUAAAUAAAAUAAAACAACAGCAACAACAAAAAAAAAAUCCCCUAACGUGACUAUGACGAAAACAGCUGGUCAUGACUAUAAAUGGAUGCAGCUGAUGAUGUCUCGUCGCUUUGUGCCAGCCUGGCUUGUGCGUGUUCAGUCACACACGUGCGAUAUGUCUGGUGCACUCUACAAACCAACAUGACGACACAGACACUUGACAUAUAAUCCCAUGCCCUUGACCUUUGGGCAAAGGAUGUCUGGAUCCAUUCUGUUAGACUUAGACGUCACACAAACACAGAAACGCACCUAGAAACACAUAAACAAAUUAGUAAAACACACAAAAACCCAUUUAAUCAUCCGUCAAAGCUGAAAAAUCUUUAAAAAUUGACAAUUACUCAAUAUUUGCAAUACUACUGUGGAUAUUGUCCUGGACAAAAUGCAGUUUACAAAAAAGCAUUAGAAAACAAACUAAAAUCAAAUCCGCUUAGGAAAAAGGGACCCGCUUCGUCUUCACUCGCAGCGCUACUGGAGGAUGAUUUCAAAUUCAAAGUGGCAGAAGAUUUCGGCAGAUUUUUAAAAAAGCCACAGAAGAAGAAAGCAUGCCGUCUUCAGUCACAGAGCAAAUGAGGAGUAAAAGCAGAGAUUUGGGGGAAUCAGGCUUCAGACUGCACAGGGAAACUCUCCUGCAGCGCCAGAAAGAGAUGCUGUGAUCCAGAAGCGGACGUCAGAAUGACCAAACAGCGACAGAGAGGGAGUGAGAGAUAGAAAAAGGGAGAAAGAGAGAGAGAGAGCGCAGGAGAGAGACAGAUAGGAGAGGUAGAGAAAGCAAAGGAGACACACCGCAACUCGAAAAAGUAAGUUGAGAGACCUGAAAAGGAAAUGCUAGUUUUCAUUAAACAACUAUCCUCUUUCGGUAUUGUGGAGAAAUGUGAGGAUAGGACAACACAAAUAGACAUACACACAUAAACAUUUAUAAGCAAAAAAAAUAAAAAUACACACACAUAUUAAUAUAUAGCAGCGGCUCUCAACUAGUGGGUCGUGACCCCAUCUGUUUUGAUGAGAAACUAUGCUGAAUGCAAUUAAUAAAAUGUAACUAAUAAUCAAAAAAAAAUCUAGGAUAGCAAAAUAAACAGGCUUUUAGGGAGGAGAAAACUCCCAUAUCUUAUGUUGUUGGCUAUGCGUCCGAUCAAAUGCUACAAAUAAAUCUGUUAAAAGUUAACCAAAUGAAAUGCCAACAUGUCCACAAUGUGUUUUGUGCAGUAAAGAACUGAAAUCUUACAUCUGCACAUUUGCUGGAAACUGCAGAGUUGUCCUAAAAUAAAUGCAUCAAUGCUGUUAUGUAAUCACAAAGUUUUUAUUCUGUAAAUGAAAUGAUUGGCUGUUGAGGUGCAGAGUAAUUCAGAAACAAAAUGACCACAUGACAAAUGAGUCAUGAUACAUACUUCCAUCAGUGACGGUUUGAGGUUAACAACCAAGAUAAAGGUUCCCCGUAAGUCUGACAUGACUAGAAACUUCCCAUUCAUGAGAAAGACUGUUGAGAAAGACCUACAUCUGUCAUAACACACAAAAUGUGUUCAUAGAUAUUUUUAUUGGUUGGCUUUUUGACAUGGGGGCAAAAAAAAAAAAGAAUGUGAAAUAUGAUAAUUACAUUUUCUGAGAAAAUAUUAUCCAUGCAAAACCCUACACCAUAAUGCCAGGACAAUUGCCAAGGUGGUGCUAUACAGUCGCUAAAGUGUUCUGAAAGGUUAAAAAGUUGCUAUGCCAUUGCUAGGGUGUUCUGAAUGGUUAGCAAUUUCUGAAUGGUUAACAAGUUGCUAUAGCAUUAGAGUGGCUUGCAUGGUUGCCAUUUCUAGGGUGAUCUGAACAAGUUACUAUGCCAUUGCUACCAUGUUCUGAAUGGUUGGUUUUGCACAUUGCUAUGCCAUUGCUAGGUUGUUCUGAAUGGUUUGCAAGUUCUGAAUGGUUAACAGAUUGCUAUAGCAUUACAGUGGCCUAAAUGGUUGCCAGUUCUAGGGUGUUCUGAUCAAGUUGCUAUGGCAUUGCUACCUUGUUCUGAAUGGUUGUUAGCAUAUUGCUAUGCCAUUUCUAUGGUGUUCUGAAUGGUUAGCAAGUUGCUAUGCUGUUUCAAGGGUGUUCAUAAUGGUUAACAAGUUGUUGCCAUUUCUAGGGUGAUCUGAAAAAGUUGCUAUUGCUAUCAUGUUCUGAAGGGUUAACGCAUUGCUAUGCCAUUUCAAGGGUGCUCAGAAUGGUUGUUAACGUGGCUAUGCCAUUGCUAGUGUGUUCUGAAUGGUUAUUAGCAUAUUGCUAUGCCAUUUCAAGAGUGUUCAGAAUGGUUUGGCAAGUUGUUGCCAUUUCUAGGGUGUUCUGAACAAGUUGCUACACCAUUGCUACCAUGUUCUGAAUGGUUGGAAACACAUUGCUAUCCCUGUUGAAAAAACCAGCAUAUGCUGGUAAGGUAGGUUUUGAAGCUGGUAUGCUGGUUUGAGCUGGUUUAUGCUGGUCCAUGCUGGUCCUAAGCUGGUCCAGAACCAGCAUAGGACCAGCUUAGGACCAUCAUGGACCAGCACAGGACCAGCAUGGACCAGCAUGGACCAGCAUAAACCAGCAUACCAGCUCCAAAACCUACCUUAACCAGCAUAUGCUGUUUUUUUCAGCAGGGACGCCGUUUAUAUGGCGGUCUGAAUGGAUGUUAGCAUGUUGCUAUGCCAUUUCUAGGAUGUUCUGAAUGGUUAGCACAUUGCUAUGACAUUGCUGGAGUGUUUGAAUGGUUGUCAACACAUUGUUGUGUGGUUGCUAAGGUGUUCUGGGUUAGGUCCCUCCUUCAAUUAUUAAUUAAUUGAAUAUAAAUAAUAAUAAUAAUUAAAAAAAAGAAUGUGAAAUUUGAUAUUGACAUUUCCCCAGCAUGGGAUGCCAUUUAUAUGGCGGUCUGAAUGGAUGUUAGCACGUUGCUAUGCCAUUGAUAGAGUAUUUGAAUGGUUGUGAAUGCGUUGCUAUGUGGUUGCUGAGGUGUUAGGUCCCUCCUUCAAUGCAAGUCUAUGCAGUUGUUUUGCUUUGAAAAGUAAUGCACAACAAAUAGCACAAACGGUGCAGGAUGAGUUAUGUGCCGUUUUGAAAAAUUGUUCGAUCAAAUUGUGGAACAGAAAGACAUCAGGUUGUGAGAUUGUUUGACACCAGUUUUCAGAACAGUUGGUUAUGUUUACGAGUGGAUGAGGCUAUUGUGGUUAAACUCCUCUCAGUCAUUAUCACAGUUGCCAUGGCGACAGCCCACCUAAUGGUUGCAGAUUAAUCAGAGGGAUAAACCAUGUGAUAGGUUUCCUUAGUAAUGUUUGUAAAUCACUAUUACGGGAGUGUUCUAUAUGUGAAAUUUCAUUCAUUCAUUCACAAGUCAAGUUUGUUUAAAUCUCUAACAUAAGUAUUAGUGCUUGUUUAAGCAAUCACCUCUAAUAAUAUUCAAAAAAACGUUUUUGAGAAAAGGAGAACAAGAAACAGGCAUCAUGUGAAACAUGGGGGUGUGGUUGUGGAUUGAAUACCGGACAGAAAAGAGGAAUAAAAAGAGCGCUGAAAUAAAAGAUAGCAAGAGAACAAGCAGGUCAAAUGAAAAGGUGAGAGAAAGGGAGGCAUAAAUGUGAUAUGACCCACCUGACUGCUCUUAACAUUGUUGAGUGGAACAUUUCUGCAAACUCCUCAUAAGCUUCAUCACACGGGCCCGUCCCUGACAGCUCGGCUGCCCGGGCCGUGAAGAACUCAGGGGCCUCCCCUAUCACCGUUCCCACACCCUACACCCUGUGAACACACACGCACAUGAUCACUGACAUUUUAUGACUGUAUACAUGACUGUGCAUAAAAAAAGGCAACGAAUCCUUCACAGAGUCACAUGAUUUCGGAUUAUUUCAUCGGAAAUCAAAAAGCAUUGUUCCGUGGCAUAUCAAAUUAUGACAGCUAAAGUUCAGACAAGUUUUCUCCUCUCUCGCGCUGUUGUCAGGCUGACAUUAAUAGGUCUGUUAUUUAAUCUGGACAUCCUGCCUCACAUCCUGUCUCUUCAACACAACUGGCUUUGAUGGUGGCCGACACUGCAUUACUCACAAAGCAGUUGGCCCUAAUCUCCUGGGCAGCUGUCCUAUUCAAUGCCACUCAGUAGGAGGUGUUUGGUUAGUGUGAGUGUGUGUUCCACCUGCCCCUUGGGUGGGGAGUGUGGAAAGCCCACUAAUGUCUACAGGGGGUUUGUAGGGUGGCACAGGAACAGAUGAGCUCUGCAGGAGAGGAGAGCUCCACUUUCCCUGAUAAACCGCCGCCAACCUGGAUGGGUGUGUGUGUGUGUGUGUGUGUUAAAACAAGUAACCCUUGCCCUGAGAACUCUCACCUUUGAACAGACAGGAACACGUGUGUGUGUGUGUGUGUGUGUGUGUGUGUGUGUGUGUGUAUGUGCGGCAUGAGUUCUGCCCCCUUCACCAUAUAAAGACCUGAGGGUAAAAACACACACACAAUAAUGUGUAGUUAACAUCCCGCCUGCCAAUGACGGCGCUACGAACAAGAGUUAUGACAUCGUCAGUCUCCUGAGACUGGGCGCAGCCUGGCAGACAGUCUGGCACUACCAGGUGUUUUGAGACCCAUAUUGCCUUCACCCUAGGUUUGCUUUACUGAAAACUAACACCGAAUAGGCACAGACUCAGAAUGGAAAAGACCAGAUGUUUGGGGGGGGGAAUAAAAUAAAUCCAAAAGAUAAUUUAGGAAAACCAGCAAAAACAGGCUUUUAAACUUGUCUAAACAUAUUUAAAUGUAAUUUAACUGCCAGAAAAAAAGUACGGUGCUCGUCACUGGUACAAAGAUACUUAUAUGUACUUUUAAAGUACUAAUAUGUACCUUUAAGGUACAAAUAUGCACUUUUAAAGAACUAAUGUGUACCUUUAAAGGUACUAAUAUGCACCAUUUAGGUGUAAGUAAGGUACAAAGAUGUACCUUUUCACUUUUGUACCUUAGGGUACUCCCAGUGACAAGCACCGUAUCUUUUUUCUGACAGUGUUGAAACUAUAAUAUUAACAUCUACAUUAUUCUUUGUAUUAAUCUCAAUGUGUAAAUCUAAUCUGAAUGUACACUAUUUUUGUAUUAAUCUCAAGUUUAUCAAACUGUCAUCUUCUGAAAGAUUGAAAAAAAUUGCCAUGUUUAGUGGUACUCACUGAAAAAGUACAUUUGUUACAUUAUUUCUUUAUCUGUGGUGAUCAAACAGGAAAAUGGCUAAUUGUACAUUAUGUAUAUACAUAAUUGCACAAUACAUUAUUGUACAAUUUCAAACUGUUUAUUCUCUUUAUUAUCUCCCUUAGGAGCAAUUUGUUACACUCCAUCCAUACAAGCGAAAAAAGAAAAAAAAAAAAAUCACUCAUUACACAUUACAUUAACAUUACACAUUAUCCUUCACAUUACCCUCCUGCACAUACACAAUUCAUCAUCGUACCUAUUCAGCUUUUAAGUUGGUACCCUAUAAAUUGGAGCUUUAAAAUGUUAGUACUAUUUGUUAGUAUUUAAUAUUUGACCGCUCAUGAAAAACACGGCAACACAAAUUUGAAAAAGUAUUUUAUAAAUAUAAUAAAAUGUAUUUUAUUAAAACCAAUGGUGUGAGUUUGGGGUGGAACAGAUGGAAUGGAGUGUUUGAAACUUAUUACUUUUUCAAUUUGUUUGUUACACAGAAAUUUUAUACUUCACCUUUAACAUUUUUUAUGCCACUUUGCCUUUAAUAGACCAGGCAGCAUAAAAUAACAGAAAAGAUGAGUUACAGAAAAGCAGAUUGAUACAUAGCGCAGGCCGAACUCUAUCAUAAAUCCCACAUGCACUGCAGUUGUGGGCACGUGCCAAAUGCUGCACCCUGACAAGCACAACAUUUUUUUUUUUACAGUGCAACAUGAUAUUUAUACAUCACAGAGAUUUCAACAAGAGCAGCAGAUCAUGAAUCAUUUACAAUGAAGAUCAUGAACACUAAAUGCGGCAAAACUUAUUUACUGUGUUGAGCAAAGACCCUGAUGGUGAGUCUCUGUAUUUGGAACUAUCUAUUUCUUGCACAAGACAAUGUUGAUACCAGAAUAAAAAUAUUCAUGACUAUUCAUGAAGCUGAAAAAUACAGAAUUAUUUUAGACGAGUAUUGCACUCUGUCCCUGACUAGAUAUAUUUAAAAUAAUGUAGGCCAAUUUUUACUGGUAUAUAUGGUAUAUAUUCCAUCACUGCAUUAUUAUACAUUAUAUUCAACAUUAUAUAUAGUAGUUUAAUGUAGUACUGACACUAAAACUCUGUAAACUUGAUUUUUUUCCCCCCCUCACACAGUAAUUUUAAUUUUGACUGACUUAUACACAAUACAUAUUGUUGCAUUUUUAUAUUGCGAUACAUUGCGACACGAUAUAUUGUUAGCAACAACAUCCCAGUUAUUUCACAACAAGCAAAAGGUCAUCACUGCUCCUUUUGCAUGUCUAAAAGUUGUUAAACAGUUCUAAAGAAGGUCUAUUUUGCACACGAAGUGUUGAUAGACAUGACGUGAUACUGACGUCACAUAUUCAAGUGCACUUCCUAUUUCUGAGUGGAAAAAUAGCUCAAGAGCAUCAUUUACUGGAGGCUUCUCGUUAUUUCUUUUCACAUUCGUAAGCAAGUGCUGAUUUUCUCUGUAAUUAAACCUUCCCCAGAAUUUUCUAAGAAAGCAACACAUGCAUUUGGACUGAAGACAGAGGUCAUAUAAUCAGCCAAUAAGUGAUUUACGCAUACUAGGCGUAUUAUCUGCAUGUACUUCCGGAACUAAAGAUAAUGAUCUUUCUCCAAUUAUUUAAAACCAGGAAGAAUUUUUGGGAAACCUGUUAGUCUUUAUUUUAGCUUUAAAAAUGUAGAUGUAUAAUAUAAAGAUUCAGUGAGUCAGAAAUGAUAACAGGACAACCUACAUAGCUCUAAGGUUUAAAGCCACAACAGUAAGCAAACAACUAUGCAUGCAUAUGCACGUAAUAAUUGAGGUGAGUGCCAGGAAGAUGGUUAGAACAUUUCUAGAUCAGCCUGAACCAUCUUUGCCUUGUCAAUAGAAUCACUUCCUCAUUGGGUCGUGCAUAUGCGCAUGCGAUUGGAGGGGAACGUGUUUUAAGGAACAGGCUGUACUACUCAUAGUAAAAAAAAAAUGCCAAACCACAUGUCUGGUGUGAGAAGUGUGAAACCGCUAGUAAGCAGCAGGGAAAUUCACAAACAUUGACAGGUUAUUUCCCCACCGCACACACUUAUCAUUCAGAAAAAAAGACCUCAAUGAAAUCAGACCUUAGUAUUAAUAACAUUAAACUGGGCCAUGUAUCAUAAGCAGGCCCAGACAGAAUCUGCAGCCCUUUUUUUGGGGCGUUCUUUGCUGGUUUUGAAUCUGCUGAAUGUAUUUUAAAAAAGCUUACUGGUAGCUAAACGCAUUAUCGAACCAGCCAAAAUAUGUUGUGGUCCAAAAGUCUGAGACUACGGUGAGCAUGUGGAAUUUAAAUCUGGAAAUGAACAAAUGUGUGGGGUUUCUGGCAAAUUCAAAACAAAGAAACUUUAUGACAUAAAAUGAGUAAGAAAUAUCGCACUAUUUAUAAGUCACUAAUAUUGUGGCAAACUUGACCAUAUGAACCCCUUUGAACAAAAGGUCAGAUUUCCUUGCCUCCAGGCUGCUGUGUGACUCUUCUGCAGUGCAGAUCUGGUCAGUGCAGGGUGGUUUGGUGGUGGGUUACACUCACAUGGGCGAUGACACUGUAAGACAAAGAGAGAUGAUUAUUAGUAAUGCUUUAGAAAUGUACAAGUACGAUGAAUGACUUCUAAUCUACAUUAAGAGACAUAAAGAGGGCAAAUACGGUUCUGGAUAGGCGUAAACAAAUAAAUAAUUUUUCAUAUUAACAAGACUGUAUACCAAAAAAAAAAAAAAUCUGUCAUCAUUUACUCAUGUCGACCAUUAAAAGAGAGGCAGAAUGUUUGAGCGGUUACCUUCAACGCUGUGAAAGUGAACAGGAGUCAGGGGCUGUGACGCUCUAAAGCGUUUCAAGUCUAAUGAAGCUGAAAAAGUUAUUCAUUUUUAUAUUUUAUUUUUAAAAAGUCAGAAUCUUGCUUUGAAAAUCUUGCUUGACAGUUGUGGUCACCAUUCACUUUCAUUCUACGAAAAAGAGAAGCUUGGACUUUCUGCUAUAAAUAACUCCUUUUGUGUUUCAAAAGAAUCACAUGGUUUCCAAAGAUAUGAUGGUAGAAUUUUCAUUUUGGGUGAACUGGUCCCCAAAUAAACAUUUUGAAUAUUAAUAUUAACAAUUAAUAUUAUUUACAUUUUUUUAAUAUGUGAUCAUUUUUUCUUUAUCCCUUUGUUUUACUUAUAUCUCACCAUUUUUAUUAUUUCUUUUUAAGAAAUGUAAUAUGUGUUGACUCCAUACAAUAAUGUUUUGUUCCAAAGAGUAAUAAUUCUGAAAAUGUAGUACAAUAAUUAAGUACUAAAGAACUACUAUACGGUCCUUGCAUCACAAAUACAUAGACGUUUUUUGUUGUUGUUUUUUUUAUAAAUGAAUGUUUGAUAAUCACAGUGAUGAGGGUCUAUCUGCUUUAUAUCUUUCUUGUCACAUUACAAUAAAAUAGAAUGUUUGGUGAUGCCACACCAACUUUUCACACAAGUUUUCCAAAUAUUUCAGCCUUUAAAUGAAACAACAAAAUGGUAAAACAUGUCAAAUCAUGGUGGUGUAAUGCUUUAAUGUUUUGCAUGAAUUGCAUUUCAAUAACUUUUUAGAUCGAGACAGAAAUGAGAGUCACAUCACUGACCCUUGUAACACAUGAGUGGGAGACAGAAAUGGAGGGGGAUGAUAAUUGGAAACCCAAGGGGGCAGAAACGAGCCCCUGAUCAAAAGAGGAAAAGAAACUCUGGGCAAGAAACGGCCGUUACUAAGGCCCGUCUGCACCAAACACCGGUCCAGAAGUUUAAGCCAUGGGAUAAUGGAAAGAAAAUAGCGGACAUUCUUGUGGCGGCCCACAGAAACCCGGGCCGUGCAAUAAAGACAGGCGAGAUCACUAGUAAAGUGUAU